CUGGAUUCUUAAGGAUGCAUCCAGCAU
rnacentral:piRNA from 1 species